rnacentral:rRNA from 1 species
AUUGAACGCCGGCGGCAGGCCUAACACAUGCAAGUCGAACGCGUCGCGGAGGGGAGAGAAAUGUCUGGGAAACUGCCCGAUGGAGGGGGAUAACUACUGGAAACGGUAUCUAAUACCGCAUACCAUCGGAUGUGCAUAGAUGGGAUUGGCUUGUAGGUGGUGUAAUGGCUCACCUAGGCGAAGAUCCCUAGCUGGUCUGAGAGGAUGACCACCCAUACGGGAACGGAGACACGGCCCAGACUCCGACGGGAGGCAGCAGUGGGGAAUAUUGCACAUGGGGGGCAAGCCUGAUGCAGCCAUGCCGGGUGUAUUAAGAAGGCCUUCGGGUUUGAAAGUACUUUCAGCGAGGAGGCGUUACUCACAGAAGAAGCACCGGCUAACUCCGUGCCAGCAGCCGCGGUAAUUC